rnacentral:misc_RNA from 1 species
AACGCACCUUGCGCUCUUGGGUCAUUCCCGAGAGCAUGCUUGUUUGAGUAACGGAAAGCCUCAACCCCGCUUUGAUUAGUAGAUUGGGUUGGAUCGUGACGCUCUGCGGGUCUCGCUUGCGCGAGUCCGCUGCGUUGAAAUGCAAGAAGCUGAAACUAAAUCGAGAUAUAAAUCUGCAGGCUUCGGCUAGCUAUUGUUAUAACACUUCGGUCUCAAUAGCGUUGCGCUCUCUGAUUGCAAAAGUAGGCUUGUACUUUACGGUUUCGCGACUGACAUUAACUUGUUCUCGCGCAAACAAAACCUUUUUAAGCUUGUUCUCAAAUCAAGUAGGACUACCCGCUGAACUUAA